GUUUCACAGUCCAACUUAUUUCCAACUAAGAGAAGUUCUGCAUCUUCUGAAGCAUACUGUGGAGUUUUAGAAGAAGCUGCAUUUCAAAGUUGUAUUCUUCAGUAGAGUCAAGGAGAAGCAGAGCAGUUACGCCGGGGAAUGCAUUUACUUCCCAGAGAAAUAAUGAUUUUCGGAGUGUCCUGUGCCUUUCCUAGAACUGUCCCAGCAUGCUUUUCCCCACAGGUGGGAGUCACAGGGAUACAGAUUUUAUAAGGUGUCCUUCAAUCUCGGACAUGAUAUUUCUACUAAGGGAGAGGAUUUCCAGCGUCUUCAUGGAGUAGAGAGUGGGAAAAUAAAUUAAGAAAGGAGUCAAAGUCACACAGAGAGAGGUCAAUUUAACAUUGGAAAACAAGUCGCCAGCACGUGGGGCCAGUCUUCUGCCCAAAUACCACCUACCAGAGGAGAGUACAACCUAAGUCCCCAGAGGAAAGCACCAUGUAAAGAAAAAAAGGAUUCAAUGACGAUCCAACGCAAGAGAAACCAAGUGCUACGACUGUAAAAUACCCAGCAGAAGGUACUAGUAUUAAAAUGGAAAAAUGAUGGUAUGACAUUAGAAAUGCUCACUGGGCCAAGGACAUGAA